UGUCGAUUGCGGCGACAUUUUCGGUUCGUUACUCGCUAGACAUAAGUACACCAAUCAACCGACAUUUUCUCGACUUUCUUGUCGCUUUUCACCCGAAAAUCAAGCUGAGAUUCGUUGUUCGUUGGUUGUAGGUAGAAAUGAGUUUUUUUUUAAACAAAUUUACCGAAUAUCAUGAGUGAUAUUUACCCCUGGCUUUCAGGUUAAGGAAAAUAUCGUAAAGGAAAUUUGCGAAGAAAUCUAUAUAAGUCGUGUGCCCAGCAGUAUGUACUCGUAUGAUAAUGAGAUUUAUUUGAACUGGGUAAACUUACUGUUAGUGUUGCAUAUAUGUUGCCUGUAUGGUGUGGUGACGUGGACCAUAAGAGAGAGCGAAAAGAAAAGGAUAGAAGCGCUGGAGGAGAAUGCUUGGAGUAAGUUCAGUAUCUUGGACUUGAUUAAAUCCGAACAAACGACUCCAUACUUCAAUAACUCGACAUAAAGCAGCAUUUAUGGUGUAAGCUCGAAUAGCUUCCUUGGGUACGUCUCACAUAGAGAAAACUAGGCAAUAAAGCGUCUUGUGAUACAGGGCAAAGUUGGCGGAAACCGAGCGCGCGGAAGAUCUCCCAUGAGAUGGACGGAUUAAAUUAAAGCAGCUGAAGACGGCCCUGUUAAUACCUAAGUCCACCCGGAGAGCUGUUGCCAGAUGGGAAUUGCGGAAAAUCCUAAAGCGCGUUACCGCAAAAAAAUAUGAACACACGAUCACCUGCUAAGAGUGCAACGCAAAAUAGGUAAAUGUAGGUAUUAAAUUUGUAUUAGUAUUCGUUUAUUUGUAUUGCAUCUUAAAACGUUAUUAAACAAAGCUACGUUAAGCUACACGAUGUGGAACGCUGCGUUAAUUAUAAGCAAAAUAACAUAAAUACACGUAUACGAUUACCUAUUUGCACACGUCCAAUGUAAACACAAAUGUGGGAGGCUGUCGACAUUUUCAGUUCGUUAGUCGCUCGUCGGGAGCCUUUUCAGUUCAUUCGGAUGUGGAUACAUCCGUUUAGCUGCCUGUCAAAGCAAAAUCAGGUAGUGUGACAUGGGACUGAGUUCCGAAAUGCGGUAAUGACCUAUCAACAUUGGGAGGAAAACGUCAAUUGAUAUUUUUGUAUCGUAAUCGCUCGAUAUCCUGAAUGUAUGUAAACAUGACGUUACUUAAAAUUUCAUUGUUUCCGAAUAAAAACAGUUGAAGGAGUCGCCGUCGUCGGAUACGGCGAGGAGGACUAUAUAUAUAUACUUAAAAAUACUUACCUUUUUUCCUUUCAGUAGUUACCCAAUAUAUAAUAUGUCCUGUAUUUUUACAGUGAUUACGUUUUCUAACUCGCGAAUUGUCGGGAAUGGGUCCUUUUAUCUUUUGUUUCCAGUCUUUUCCUCUAUUGAAUCCAUUUCUCUUUGCACCGUUAUCUUCUGAUGAUGGUUUUUAUUGCUAUGAACAAUUCAACAAACGAUUUGUUACGGAUAAGGGAUAUAAAUUACACCAUUAUCGUUUUCCUUUUUUCUACAGCUUUAUAGAUUAUCCUUAAUUCAUUAACUUCUAAAAACAUAAGAAUAGCCCUUAAUCUAUAAUUAUAUUUAGAAGUAACAAGUAUGUAUUUUAUAACUUAUAAGUUUUGAUAUAAACUCCGUAUAUGUAUACAAAUAUCUAGGACAGUUGCAUUUAUUUUUCCUUAAGUUGUAUUUAUUUUUGCAACUCGCUGUAGUCGCUGUACAGAAUUAAAUCACAAUUAAAUUAUAUAUGUAAGGGAAUCCCCAGUGACUUAAAACUUGGUAGAAUUCUCUUGGGGAACUGCUCAAGGAAUGACGCGAUAUUAAAUUAACUUUGUAGUGCUAGCUUGAAUUUCUUUACCAGUGCGAGCUCACUGGCGGCAAGCCAACUCGAGAAACAAACAACUUGCCGACGAAAAUAUAUUGGCAGUAAAAUUGUAGGAUUUUUGAAGACAGCAGCUUACUACAAGGGUGAAAUGUCUGAGGAAACAACGAUUUUAUCUCAUUUAAGUACCUAGGCAGUGCUAAGCCUAAUGUUUGAUCUUGAAUUCUGUCUGAGGGCAAGUCUUUCAGAUAGUUGUUUAAUAUUUGUAUGCAGAACUAAAAACGACUUUUCGCAUUGUAUAGUUUUCCCGGUCACCCGCUGCUUUGUUUGGGUUCAGAAUGUUUAUUAUUGGUAUACAAGUAUGUGUAGUCAUCUCUCUAUAUCUGACGCGGUGAAUUAUGAUCCCAAUGACAGUUCCUUUUUCGUAUGGAGUAACUGUUAAUGUAAUAAGUUUUUAAUUUUUUUUGGUACUCUUUUUUUUUAUUUAACAAUGUAACAAUUAAGUUAUUAAAAUACGGUAAAAAUCUAUUCCUUCAACUAUUUUUUAAAUGAAGUCUUUCCAAAACUGAUUUUAAGGAACCGUUAUAGGGAUCAUCAUUCGCGUAAGUUUCAAUUCCAUACUUUGUGGUAAAAUGUUAAAGGUAAAUUCUUCGUCCAUUAUGUUAUGACAUUGUAAUUUUCAGAUAUAUAGGCGAUGAUGAUGUUGAGCAUAACUGAUAAACAAGGACACCAGGCUAGAAUCUCCAAUACUGAACAGAUUUAAUGCCUGACGAUAACGAGGGUCAAUAUUAACGAUAGAGAAUGUCCCCAAAAUGCCACAGAUGACGGUGCACAUCUCGUCAGUAUCAUAAAACUGGGCUCACGAUCCAUUCUACAGUUCCUGACACGCAUAUUCAUUAGGCAUCGGUACUAAUGAUCAUUAGCGAAUCGCACAGCCAUUCUGCGUACUAAUCUGGUCCUUUCACGCUUCUGAUGAGUCAACCAGGGUGAUUAAUACGUGUAGGACAAUGAGGCCGGUUUUCACUUGAUAUUUACUAAGUGAUAUCGUAAGAUUUUUGAUCAUUAUUUUUGAAUGUUAAUAUAUUCAGAAUUCUGGUAGCGUAAUUAUUUUUUAAUAAAAAAAAAUCUUUUAUUUCGGACAGAGUCCAUAAACAUCUUAAUGCUACUCGUAAUAAUGUGGGCUUCAAAAAUGUUUGCAGUUUCUUUCAAACUUGUCGGUGAUCACUUCUGUCAUUAUAUCUUUGUAAAAGGUUUCUAGAAUAGAUAAGUGUCCUAAUGUGUAAAACCUAACGAACUGUAAUUUUAUAAUGAAAAAUCAUGGCAGUGUCUAAAGACUCGCAUGUAAAUUAGACUAUUUGGAUCUA